rnacentral:pre_miRNA from 1 species
ACAACAUUCGGACCGUCGGUCUACCGAGCAAUAUCACCCGCUCGGCGGAAGAUCUUCCCUUAGUCGU